rnacentral:rRNA from 1 species
CGCCAGACUCCUACGGGAGGCAGCAGUGAGGAAUAUUGGUCAAUGGGCGAGAGCCUGAACCAGCCAAGUCGCGUGAGGGAAGACGGUCCUAUGGAUUGUAAACCUCUUUUGCCGGGGAGCAAAAAGCGGUACGCGUACCGCAUCGAGAGUACCCGGAGAAAAAGCAUCGGCUAACUCCGUGCCAGCAGCCGCGGUAAUACGGAGGAUGCGAGCGUUAUCCGGAUUUAUUGGGUUUAAAGGGUGCGUAGGCGGAGUGUCAAGUCAGCGGUAAAAUUUCGGGGCUCAACCCCGUCGUGCCGUUGAAACUGACACCCUUGAGUGAGUGAGAAGUAAGCGGAAUGCGUGGUGUAGCGGUGAAAUGCAUAGAUAUCACGCAGAACUCCGAUUGCGAAGGCAGCAUACCGGCGCUCAACUGACGCUGAGGCACGAAAGCGUGGGGAUCGAACAGGAUUAGAUACCCGUGUAUU